UCUGCCAACUUAGGUUCUAAGACAAUCACUGAGGGACCAGGCAGGGCUGGAUGCCUACGUUCCAAUAACUGAGAAAGUCUAUAUGUGAGGCUGUAUGGUCCCCAGAGGUAGAACUACAAAGUUACAGGCGGCAGGCUUUCGCUUAACACAGAGCAAAGACGGCUACACUGAGAGCAGCUGAAGCUGAAAUGGACCACCAGAGGAGGGAGACUCCCUCCACGGCAGAGUUCCGAGACGGGAACCGCCGCUGACGGGAAACCUGCUUUACCAGCGGUCCUCAACCAGAGCAAUUUUGUCUCCCAGGUGUCUUCUGGCAAUGUCCAGAGACAUUUUUGGUUGUCACAACUGAAGGGGAACCAGUAUACUGGCAUCUAGUGGGUAGAGGCCAGAGAUGCAGCUGUGGUCAGGACAUAAUGCACAGGACAGCCUCCCAGACACACAUAACAAUUAUCUAAUCCAAAAUAUCAAUACUUCCCAGUGUGAGAAACCCUGGACUAGAUAAAUCACUUCUAAAGGUCUCUUCUAAUCCUAUAGCCUAUCUUUAAUUAAUUUUUAAAGCCUAUCUCCAGAAACCUAAGAGAUAAAACAGGAAAAGAAACCCAAGAACGUAUGUGAUUUUUGACAGGGUAAAAAUCCCCAGCCAGAGAAUAUUCUAUAUUCUUAUAAGAAUAAGAUCCUAAAUUCUUAGUGUGCAUGUCAUUCCUUAAAACACGACAUAAUCUUGACUCCCAAAUUCCACGGUAAAGAUCAGAUAAAUUUAAGCAUUAGUCAGACUAGACCUCUGAGCUAAAAAUUGGGGAAAUUUAGUAUUUUAGGUAACAUUGGGUGUCAGGGCUAAAUCAAAGGGCAGCUUGGAAGCGAGCUCUGGAUCAAGCAGGUACCCUCUGAAGGGGCUCCAGCUCUCUCUCCAUCACCACAUUAGUUCAGCUGUGCUGAGGCUCCUGUAAAAAUGAGCUUCCUUUCUCCUCCAAUACCCUAUCAACAUUAAGCAUCAUAAAAAACCUAAGCAUUUUCAUUUGGCUUUCCCUAAUGCAACAUUUUCCUCUUGGAUAUCCCUUUCGUAUGAAGAAAUCUCACUGUAAAAUAUUUAGGAUAUGAAAUCCAAGAAAUUUUUUAGGAAUAAAUAUACACCAUUUACAACCAAUUAGCUCCAAGCUCAAACAAAAAAUAUUUACUUUUAAAAACAAACAAUACAAAUCAAAACUACAUAUACAUGUGGUUUUAUAAUACCCAGCCAUAAAACCUUGGCUACAAUACUUAGCCUCUCUGUUCCUCUGUGAAAUGAAGAGGAUAAAAUAAAACUUAUAUAAAUAAAUGUAAAUAAAAUGAAAACUUGCCUUACAAGUACAACAAAACAAAACAAUACAUGUUCUUAAAAUCUUUCUAUGUAUAAAAAACAAGAAAAACCAACUUACAGCUUUUGCUAUAUAUUGAGCUGGUCCCGGAUAGCCAAAAUCAUAGUGUUAAACCACCACCAACCAUAGUGAUAAGAAUUUCAAACAAAAGGAUCAAGGUAAUAUGAAGAUAGAUGAUUUUUAAAACUUAAAAUGUUAAUAAAUAGGGUCAGAAAAUGAUCAGUUACCAUUCAUUCAUUUGCUGUCAAUCAAACACCUAAGUGCUUACUGUGUGCAAAGAUCACCUCCUUUUUCUAAGUCACCUGCAGAGUGACAUAAUGUUUAACAUGUUGGCUCUAGAAUCAGACUGCCGGGGUUCAGUUACUGCAUGAGCUUGGGCCAGUCAGUGUACCUCCUUGUGACUCAAGUUCCAUCUGUAAGGUGAGGGGUACCUACAGCUCAUAGGGCUGUUGUGAGGAUUACAUGAGUUAACACACAUAAAGCCCUCAGGUGGUGCCUAGUACACAGUAAGUGCUCAGUUAAAGUUAGUUAUUGUAGCACACUGCAACAUAACCAGUUUAAUCUUCCUAAAACUAAUUUCUUCACUUCACAUCACUGUCUAAGAAACUACAAUGGCCUUCUUAUGCCUAGAACAUAAAAUGCAAGUACUUAAUUCUGGUAACCAUCCAACACCUCCCAACUAAUCACAUACCAGUCCCCCAAAUGUGCCUUAUACUCCGUACUCAAGGAUGGGCCAGAGCAGCACUGUCCAAAAAAAUCAUGCAAGCCACAUAUUGUAAUUCUUAUUUGUCUGCUAGCCACAUUUAAAAAAGUAAAAAACAGAUAAAAUUAUUUUUAAUAAUAUUUUGUUUAACCAAAUAUAUCCAAAAUACUACUCUAGGAAUCUUUUUUAAGUUACUAAUGAGAUAUUUAACAUUCUUUUUUCCAUUCCAAGUCUUUAAACUCCAGUGUGUUUCCACUCACCACACACAUCUCAUGCGCAUCUCAGUUUGGACCAGCCACAUCUCAAGGGCUCAGGAAUCACCACAUGGCUCAUGGCUAUAGUACUGGGCAGGGCCACUCAAGAGCAUGGCAAGUUUCUGGUAACCACAGCCUUCAAUCAAUCAGUCCUACUUCGCUUCCUACCCUCUUUUCAUUAUCCCCCUAUUCAUCUAGAUUCCUCAAGAUUCAACUUACAGAGAAGCUCUUGAGCAAGACCUACCCCAACAACUCCAGCCCCCAGUGAUCCUGCUCCCAUUAAAUAAAACUGAAUGCAUACUGUGGGCAAUGAGUUUUGUCAGGUCCGUGACUGAAACAAAGUUUAAGACAGGAACGCUUAAGGAGUUAAUCUUUUGUAUAAACAUAAUGUUAUCAUUUGUAAUAACAAAGAAAGACAAAAUAACUAAAUGUCCGUCAAUAGGGAACUGAUUAACCAAAUGGUAGCUUUACUUACUGCAAUAUUAUUAUGGGGUAACAAGUAAGAGUAGCCCCAUAAUACUAAUAUGUGCUAAUGUAUAUUAGUACAUAUAAAACAUAAAACAUUCUGUUUUAUAUGUACUAACAAAGAAAAAUUGCUAAGAUACUUUGAAGUUGAAAAAUUUAUGUAUUACGUAUGUAGUCAUUAGAUGUAUAUGUGUGUUGGCGGGGGGAGUUAGGUAGGUAGAUAAAGUCUACACACAGUUGUUAAUGCACACCAAAUCUCAGGAAACAGUUUAUAGUGGGUGUUUCCAGAGAAGGAACCAGAUGACCAGAACAGGGGCCAGCAAACUUUUUUUAAAGGGCCAAAUAUUUAACCUCAUGGGUCAUAAAGUCUCUUUGGUAACUACCCAACUCUGAUGCUGUGGCUUGAGAUCAGCCAUAGAUAAUACUUAAAUGAAGGGGCAUGGCUCUGUUCCAAUAAAACUUUAUUUUAAAAACAGGCAGUCAGUGGUAAACUGCAGUUUGCUCACCCCUGAACUAGAAUACAAGAGGAGGAGGAGACGUAUUUUUCACUCUACACUCUUCUGUACCUUUUGGAUUUUUUACCGUGCACAUGAUUAUAGACACCUGUUGUGUACCACUUGCAAAAUCUCUUGACCCAGUCUGUUACUCCAGCUAUGGAGGACUAAUUCCUUACAGGCUGUAACUGGCUAUAGGUCCAACCAGAAAGCAAGUGCUCUUACUCAUUCACUACCCAGAAGUAUGGAGGAGUUAACUCCUGCGGGACAACCUUGGACCAAUGGGGAAAGUCAGUUCAGAGGUUCAUUUCAUAAGGCUCCUUGAAAGUCUCAGUGGGAUUCAGCACUACUCACUCAUGGAGCGGCUAACUUGAAGAUGCACUGGUGUACAUGCAAUACCUACUUCUCUGGACUAACAGUUUAAAAGUAUACAGGCAUGUUCUGAGAACAGAGUAAACCAGAUGAAUGGUUAGGGUAAGGUGAGAAAGAUAAAUUGGGCCUAGACGGAAAAUCCUGUAUGUUUAUGGACCAGCUUAGAUGCAAGAGAGAAGCCUUAAAAGUUUUCGAGUAGAAGACACGAACAUGAUUAAGGCACUGUGACUAACAGAUCAGGGCGGAAAGCAGAGAAUACCAGUCACUGGACCAAUUAAUUAGGAGGUCAGCUGCACAAGACCAAUGUUGAAGAUAAAACAGAUAAGGAAAAAAUUCUGCACAUGAUAGAAAGGAAAAAUCAACAUAACUUUAAAAAGCGGGGAGAAUCAAAGAUGAUGCCAAGGUUUUCUGCCUAGCUGACUAGGAGAAAUAUUCGUAUUCCUACAAGGUAUGUGGCAAAGAGGAAUAAAAAUAAGGGUUUGGUUUCAGUUGUGUUCAAUUUGAGGUGAUAAAAAGCAUUUCAAAUGAAGGUUUCCAAGAGAUCAUCAGAAAUGAGUUUAGGCCAGCACAGCCUCAAGGUAUGUGUCCGGUUGCUGGCAGCCUAACCUUAUCAGCUAGAGCUUUGCAAGUAGAGGAGAUUUCCAAGGAAAAAGGCAGAGAUGAAGGUGAAAAAAUGAGCCCUAGAGAAUGUCUAUAUUUAGGGAAGUGGGAGGAGGGGGGAAUAAAAGAGGAAACAAAACUGUCUUCAAUAUUUAGAGAGCUGGGCAGGCGAGCAUCACAGAUGAUCGAUCAAGUUAGGGACAAUCACCUUUCACCAAGCUAUUAACGAGAUGCCAGCUACUUCCAUAUACCUUGUUUUAUUUGACACUCAAAAACCUUAAGAGCUGUUAUCCCAACUUCACAUGAGAGGAAAAACCGAGGACCAACAGGGUUAAAUAAUUUUCCCAAGUUCAUACAGCCAAGAUGGGGUAGGAUGCCUUAAAGGUGUGGAGAGUUAAGAGUUUCAAAUGAGAACUGAAAAAGACCCCUGAAUUUAGCAAUAAGGCAGGAUCAAAAAUGGAAUUUCAAUGAAAAGGGGCUAAAGCCAGAUAAUGGAAGACUAAGGCAAAGUGGAAAAGCAGCUAAUUACCUGGUUAGAAAUUUGGUUUACAAAACUGAAGAGAAACUAAUGUAGUCAAGUACAGUUAAAUUAAUGGCCUUUUUUUCUCUUUGCCCAAAUAGGAGAAACCUGUGAGCAUGUGUAAGCAGACAGAAAGGAACCAAUUUUGAAAAGGGGAGAAUAAAGACACAGGAAGGAAAGCACCAGAGGUCAGAGAACAGGCACAAGGACAGAGAAGAGGGAUGGAGGGCAUGACGGCUUUGUCCAAUACCUGAAGAAAGGCAGAGGUACCUGCAUCGGAAUCUCCAUCUACACAGGAUGAAACUAGAAGAUGAAGAUGCUUUCUUUGAAACAAAAUCUACAGCCUGUUACCAAGAAAAAGACUGAUGUCCCUGCAAAAAAAAAAAAAAA